rnacentral:rRNA from 1 species
AUUGAACGCUAGCGGCAUGCUUUACACAUGCAAGUCGAACGAGUGGCGGACGGGUGAGUAAUAUAUCGGAACGUGCCCAGUAGCGGGGGAUAACUACUCGAAAGAGGGCUAAUACCGCAUACUAUUGGAUCGGCCCAUGUGGGAUUAGCUAGUUGGUGGGGUAAAGGCUCACCAAGGCAACGAUCCUUAGCUGGUCUGAGAGGAUGACCAGCCACACUGGGACUGAGACACGGCCCAGACUCCUACGGGAGGCAGCAGUGGGGAAUUUUGGACAAUGGGGGAAACCCUGAUACAGCCAUGCCGCGUGAAUGAUGAAGGCCUUCGGGUUGUAAAGUACUUUUGGCAGAGAAGCGGUAUCUACAGAAUAAGCACCGGCUAACUACGUGCCAGCAGCCGCGGUAAUUC